GACAGAGGAUGCAAGCGUUAUCCGGAAUGAUUGGGCGUAAAGCGUCUGUAGGUGGCUUUUUAAGUCCGCCGUCAAAUCCCAGGCUCAACCCUGGACAGGCGGUGGAAACUACCAAGCUGGAGUACGGUAGGGGCAGAGGGAAUUUCCAGUGGAGCGGUGAAAUGCGUAGAGUAUUGGAAAAGACCACCAAUGGCGAAGGCACUCUACUGGGCCAUUACUGACACUGAGAGACGAAAGCUAGGGGAGCGAAUGGG
rnacentral:rRNA from 1 species